GCUGACUCUCUUUUCAGACUCAGCCCACUUGCACCCAAGUGAAUUAACAGCCUUGUUGCUCACACAAAGCCUGUUUAGGUGGUCUUCUAUACGGACAUGCUUGACACUUGGUGCCAAAAUCUGGGCCAGGGGGACUCCUUCGUGAGACCGGCCCCCUGUCCUGGCCCUCAUUCCGUGAAGAGAUCCACCUGCGACCUCGGGUCCUCAGACCAGCCCAAGGAACAUCUCACCAAUUUCAAAUCGGAUCUCCUCGGCUUAGUGGCUGAAGACUGAUGCUGCCCGAUCGCCUCAGAAGCCCCUUGGACCAUCACAGAUGCCGAGCUUCGGGUAACUCUUACGGUGGAGGAUUCCCAGCCAUAUGAAGACACCCUAGCUGGACGAUCAGUCCUUGUCAAAAGUCUGACCCCUCAAACUCUACAGCCUCAAUGGACCAGACCCUACCCGGUCAUUUAUAGCACACCAACUGCCGUCCAUCUGCAGGACCCUCUCCAUUGGGUUCACCAUUCCAGAAUAAAGCCAUGCCCAUCAGACAGCCAGCUUGAUCUCUCCUCUUCCUCCUGGAAGCCACAAGAUUAGGCCGAGAGCCGAUCAGACAAACAACCUACAACCCUUAAGCUCCUGGCAGCGCCCAGCCAAGGCCAUGCUUCCUUGCAACACUCCUUCCAAAUGGCCAUCCCAGCAUGCUUCCAAGCAGGCUUCAUCCGUUCCUCUGGACCCUCAUCUCUUAAGACCUGCCGCCUAUAAAAAGGAUUAUAUCUUGAGACCCUAUCCUCUAAAAUUUUUUCCACACCCAAAACAAAAAAUCUCUGGGUCAAAAGUCUAAAACGCUUAGGCUGGCAACCAUCAGAUCCUUGCCCAUGGUGUCCUCAAGCCUACUCUCAUGAAAUGGACAACAGUACACGCAUAUGGGGCCAGUUCCACAUAUUUGGCAACCAGACCAGCAUCCAGGACAACACAAAGUAUGUUGUUUGUUGUUAGAGGGCUUGGGACAUUUCACUCUUUGCCAGCCUCAGCUUAAUCCAGGAGACAAAGAUUAUUUUCCUUAUUAUCUCUUCUGCAUAGGAUCUGCAAUCAGAACUAUUGAACUUCUCCAUUCAGACCGCCACUCACACCUAUGGGAAAAGGGUGUCCACGCAGUCCCUGGUCACACUUGAAGCAGUCCGGAGAAAUAUCAGCCCUACCCCAGUAAUCCCCAGAAGGAACUUACACUUUUUUUUAAUCUUUUCCUACAACUUCAUAUUUUAUAAAUAAAAAGACAAAAAUGUCA
rnacentral:lncRNA from 1 species